GAUGAAGAACGUAGCGAAAUGCGACAAGUAAUGUGAAUUGCAGAAUUCCGUGAAUCAUCGAAUCUUUGAACGCACAUUGCGCCCCUUGGUAUCCCGAGGGGCAUGCCUGUUCGAGCGUCAUUUCACCACUCAAGCCUGGCUUGGUGUUGGGCGACGUCCUCUUUGGGGACGCGCCUCGAAACGCUCGGCGGCGUGGCACCGGCUUUAAGCGUAGCAGAAUCUUUCGCUUUGGAAGUCGGGGCCCCGUCUGCCGGAAGACCUGCUCGCAAGGUUGACCUCGGAUCAGGCAGGGAUACCCGCUGAACUUAAGCAUAUCAAUAAGCGGAGGA
rnacentral:misc_RNA from 1 species